rnacentral:lncRNA from 1 species
AGGACAGCGGGACGCAGGUGGCGCUGUGGUCUAAACCACAGAGCCUAGGGCUUGCCGAUCAGAAGGUCGGCGGUUUGAAUCCCCGCGAUGGGAUGAGCUCCCGUUGCUUGGUUCCUGCUCCUGCCAACCUAGCAGUUCGAAAGCAUGAAGUGCAAGUAGAUAAAUAGGCACCACUCUGGCGGGAAGGUAAAUGGUGUUUCUGUGCGCUGCUCUGGUUCACCAGAAGCGGCUUAGUCAUGCUGGCCACAUGACCCGGAAGCUGUACGCCGGCUCCCUUGGCCAAUAAAGUGAGAUGAUUGCCGCAACCCCAGAGUUGUCCAUGACUGGACCUGAUGGUCAGGGUUCCCUUUACCUUUUAAUCAGGACAGCAAUACCUCAAGCACUGCCUCUCUCCAUAUGAACCUUCCCAGACCCUGAGAUCACCAUCUUGAGGCCAUUCUUUGUGUGCCCCCUCCACAAGAAGUCUGGAGGGUGGCAACACGAGAAAGAACCUUUUCUGUAGUGGCUCUCCAUUUGUGGAAUGCUCUCCCCAGGAAGGCUCGCCUGGUGCCUUCAUUAUACAUCUUUAGGCAAAAAAUUUCCUCUUCAACCAGGCUUUUGCGUGAUUAUAAUCCUAUACCUUUUAAAAUGUGUUUGCGGGAGGGGUUGGGGAUGAUUGGUUUGUCCUUGUUUUUAUUAUGUAUGCUGUGUUUUUAUCUUUAGCUAGCCCUGGGGAUUAUCUAAAGCUUAUUUCCCCUAAACUGAUUUUUGAGUUUUGAAUUUUUUUGUUAUUCAUGUUUUUAUACUGUAUUUUAUGCUGCUUUUAUAAUUAAGUGUUUUAAAUUUGUUGUUAGCUGCCCUGAGGCCGGUUUUUGAACCGGGAAGGGUGGGGUAUAAAUAAAAUAUUAUUAUUAUUACAGUGGUGCCCCGCAAGACGAAUGCCUCGCAAGACGGAAAAACCGCUAGACGAAAGGGUUUUCCGUUUUGAAGUUGCUUCGCAGGACGAAUUCCCCUAUGGGCUUGCUUCGCAAGACGAAAAUACCUUGCGAGUCUUGAGAUUUUUUUCGCUUUUCCCCUUUAUCUAAUCUGCUAAGCCUUUAAUAGCCUUUAAUAGCCUUUUAGCAGCUAAUCCCCUAAGCCUUUAAGCCUUUAAUAGCCGCUAAACAGCUGAUAGCGCUAAUAGCGCUAAUCCGUCAAUGGGCUUGCUUCGCAAGACGAAAAAACCGCUAGACGAAGACUCUUGCGGAACGGAUUAAUUUCGUCUUGCGAGGCACCACUGUAUUAUUAUUAUUAUUAUUAUUAUUAUUAUCAUCAUCAUCUUGAAUUUUUACAUUGUGAACCACCCUUUAAUGAAAGGUGGUAUACAAAUUUAAUAAUAAUAAUAAUAAUAAUAAUAAUAAUAAUAAUAAAAUACCAGGAAUCAUGCAGUUCAUACAUGAAGGGUGUUGACUUCCUGGUCAUCUAGAACAAUACCAAUUGAGUUCUUCAAUCACUAUGGUGCUCUUUUUAAAUAUUAUUUUCUUUCCUUGUGUUUUGUACUUAGAGAGGACACCUGGUUACGAUUAUAGACAGCAUGCCUCGCUUGGUGUCCGCAACGCAGAAGUCUCCCAUGUGAGGAGCCACAUUUCCAAAAGCCGUCGCAGCAAUACACUUGCUUAUUGCAACUCUUGGAUUCUUCUUUGAACUUGAUAAUCAUCUGCAGCCUGUUUCCCGCCCCCUCCAUAUUUGCCCAUGAUUACUGGAGGGAGCAGGCUUCCUCAUCCUUUCUCCAUGGUAAUUGGUCUCAGUGCAACCAGGAGAGGGGAAGGAGAAGGAAGAUUCCUUCUUUUCCUCCUACCUUAAAUUGAUUCUUUUGUCUCGGAGGCUAAACAAGCCUCACUUCCUGGUAUGCCCCAGGGCUUGGAAGAUGGAGGCCUCUUGAUUGAUAGGCCCAAACAGAGUAAUGGGCAGUGGUUAUACCAGACAUGACACAGACACAAAAAGUAGUCUGCUACAAGCAGCUACUGAUGGAUGUCAACAUGAAUUAUUCACCAAUCCGGAUGUGCGUUCGACAGUAGCUUUAGAGCAGCACGAGAAUUUCAUAAUGAAAAUAUUCUGGGGUUUUUUUUGGGGGGGUGCGUGUGUAUGACUGGUGUCCAUUUGUUCUUUGUUGUUGUUGUUGUUUAGUCAUUUAGUCGUGUCCGACUCUUCGUGACCCCAUGGACCAGAGCAUGCCAGGCACUCCUGUCUUCCACUGCUUCCUGCAGUUUGGUCAAACUCAUGCUGGUAGCUUUGAGAACACUGUCCAACCAUCUCAUCCUCUGUCGUCCCCUUCUCCUUGUGCCCUCAAAUCUUUCCCAGCAUCAGGGUCUUUUCCAGGGAGUCUUCUCUUCUCAUGAGGUGGCCAAAGUAUUGGAGCCUCAGCUUCAGGAUCUGUCCUUCCAGUGAGCACUGAGGGCUGAUUUCCUUCAGAAUGGAUAGAUUUGAUCUUCUUGCAGUCCAUGGGACUCUCAAGAGUCUCCUCCAGCACCAUAAUUCAAAAGCAUCAAUUCUUCGGCGAACAGCCUUCUUUAUGGUCCAGCUCUCACUUACCAGGAGCCAAAAAAUAAUGUCUUUCUAUGGAUCCACCUUCUGCCUGAUACACAGGGAGCUUCUUAGUGCAUUUCUUAGGCAUCAGUGGUGGCUGGUGCUGACUAGACCUGGUGCACUGCUCGGAGGUCACAGGGCCAUGGCGAAAGAGGGGUCACAGGGGUGUGGCCAAGAUCUGGCUCCUUCCCCAUCUUCCUCCCUUGCAAAGCUACCAUGGGCACUUAAGCAUUGCAAUCUUUCAACUAAACUGAAAAGUGUUUUUCCAGAAGGGGUCCAGACCCCCCAAGUGUCCCUAUUUUCCAGGGACAGCCCUGGAUUUACAGAAGCCAUCCUGGUUUCUGAUUGGAUCCCAGAAUGUCCCACUUUUCCAUUGGACAUCCCUAUUUUCAUCAGAGAAAUGUUGACGGGUUCGUUAGGACAUCCCUAUCUUCUUUGGAGAAAUGUUGGAGGGGAUGGAGUUACGCGACUCUUGAGCCAAGCAGAUAAGUAACCAUGCAACCUUUAGAAGACAUCUGAAGGCAGCCCUGUAGUGGGAAGAUUUUUUUAAAAAAUGUUUUUUGAUGUUUUUAUAUAUGUUGGAAGCUGCCCAGAGUGGUUGGGGCAACCUAGUCAGAUUAUUAUGGAAUAGGAUGUUCCUAUGUUCAUUGGAGAAAUGUUGGAGGGUAUGAGAUAUAGACACAGACAUAUAAUGUGGCUGGGGCAACGCAGUCAGAUGGCAGAGUAUUAUUAUUAUUAUUAUUAUUAUUAUUUAGGAAACCUCUGUUUUCAUCAGGGAAAUGUUGGAGGGUAGGCGGUCCCUGUCGUUGCAGUUGCAAAGGUUUCUGUAGCCUAUACCUGUUUUGGUUUUCACCCAAUCUUCCCCCUUUGCACAGAAACAAUGGACGCAUUCUAACUUUUCUGCUGUCUUCAUGUGCUUUUCAAGUGGGAACCUAGAGAUGACCCACAAUCAGCUGGUUGGAAAAGCAGUGAUUCACUCAUUUCCCAGAGUCCCUCACCUCAUGAGCUUAGAUCUUAAGGCCUUCAUUCUAUUUGGCACCCGCCCACUCUCCCUUGUUGCAAAAAAAUAACAUUUUCUCAAUCUACUUGAACAUACCCUUUCCUGGUUACGAAAGUAAACGUUGAUCAGCUGCCGAUUGCUCUCUCCUCCUGCUCCAGAACCUCCCAAAUAAAUGUGUUUGGUGGUCAAGGCUGAUGUGGAAGUCCAGGCAGGCAUAGACAUCUAUUCACCCAACUAUUCAUUCCACAAGAAAAGCAAAUUUGGAACGCUUAUUACAAGGUUGUUGACUAAGCACCCCAGGGAGCUUGCUCUGUGAUUCAGUUACAGUCCAAGAGGUCAACCCUCACAUAACUGGCUCAAGAGUCAUUAGCUGAGUCAAUGUGAGAGAUAAGUAAUUUCCUAUUUCUAUUCACACGAAAAAUGACAGUGAAGUGAAUAAUAAUAAUAAUAAUAUUUUUAGAUUCAUAUCUUGCCCUCCCCAGCCGAAGCUGGGCUCAGACCGGCUAACAACAGUAAAAUGAUACAACAUUCUAAAAUCAUUUCAUUAUAAAAUCAAUUCAAAUCAGAUUAAUGGCAACCAUUGGGCUAGAGUUCCGUGAGGAUUGCCAAAGGCCUGGUGGAACAGCUCUGUCUUGCAGGCCCUGUGGAAAGAUGUCAAGUCCCGCAGGGCCCUAGUCUCUUGUGACAGAGCGUUCCACCAGAUCGGAGCCACAGCCAAAAAAGCCCUGGCUCUGGUUGAGGCCAGCCUAACCUCUCUGUGGCCCGGGACCUCCAAGGUGUUUUUGUUUGAAGACCGUAAGGUCCUCCGUGGGACAUACAGGAGAGGCGGUCCCGUAGUUACGAGGGUCCUAGGCCGUAUAGGGCUUUAAAGGUUAAAACCAGCACCUUAAACCUGAUCCUGUACUCCACUGGGAGCCAGUGCAGCUGAUAUAGCACUGGGUGAAUGUGAUCCCGCAGCGAGGACCCCGGAAGGAGUCUCGCCACGGCAUUCUGCACCUGCUGGAGUUUCUGGGUCAGCUUCAAGGGCAGUCCCACGUAGAGCAAGUUACAAUAAUCCAGUCUGGAGGUGACCCUUGUGUGGAUCACAGUGGCUAGGUCAGGGCGAGAGAGGUAAGGAGCCAACUGCUUAGCUUUGCUUUUUUCACUUUUUGGGAUGUUCAGUUUGCAAUAAACACCUUAAAUUUUCACCCUGUAGAUUUUUCAGCAACUGAGCAGGCCUUACUGCCUGUUAUCAUGCGCCGAUUGGUCAUUCCUAGGUAGAAUUUCUACCUCUGCUUAAAUUGGUUUCCCUCAGAAUAAAUUUGUAGAUUAGGAUCUGUCUGCUCUAAGCUUUUUUGUCCUCCCCCCCCCCCGGUUGGACUGUUUCAUCUGCCAGUCAACCGGGCCAUAAACAAGUUGCACCAUAAGGAUGAAUGUCUUAAAAACAGGUCUAAAGAGCUUGACUCUCUCUCGCUUUCUCUUUGGGGCUGCAGAUAAUUAGAGAGCGGGAGUUAGCAACGCAUUAGUGAAGAGUGUUUGCCCUCGGGGUGGUUUCUAAUGAGUUUUGUCUUUAAGUUCACAGUGUCUGUUUUCUCAUGUUGUUGAGAAUUUCACUUCUGCCUUCCUCACUCAUCAAGUUUCCACUUGUCCUUUAGUCCGCAGAGAAGCUGCAGCUCAUAAGAGAAUAGAAGGAGGGAGAUCAGACCAGAAGUCCAUCUAGCCUAGUAUUCUGUCACCAACAGUGGGCAGCCAUCUGGAGAGGAUAGUAGAGACAACCAUUCCCUGUUGUUUGCCCCCGGUGUCUCCUUCACAGUUUCCCCAGCUCCUCAGAUUCCAGCACAGGUUACUUUGCCAGCCUACUCUAGAGGAUGGGCAGCCUUAAAAUAGGUUUGAUAGACAUGUAUGGAGCACCAUAGUGUAGACUUGCAGAGCUCUUCAAUCAUGGGUCCCUAGAUAUUUGAUGGACUACAACUCCUAUCAUCCCCUGUCAGGUUAGCCAAUAGCAGGGGUGAUGGGUGUAGUUGUACAACAUAUGGGGACCCAAGGUUGAAGCACUUAGUUUCUAAAAUGACAUGGCAGGGCUCACAUUCAAUACUCCAACUGGCACUCUUAUUCCUUCUCCCACCUGUGUGCUUACUGCUGGCAAUUUCUCAGGGCUGAGGAACAGCACAUUCUUCAUUUUUCAUAUAUUCAUUUCACUUUUAAUUUGAAUGCAGCCUUUCUAUAUUGCUACACGCAAGGCGGUUUACAAGCUGAGGAGACAACAAAAUAGCAGAGACCUCACACCGAAUAAUCUGAUCUAAGACAAAAAAGUCGUAAUAAAAAUGUAACUUUAAAAUAAACAUAUCAGAUAAAGCAAUAUUCAAUAACCCAUUAGAAUGUAAUAGCAAACCGUAAAAUACCAGCAAAUAAUAAUUAAACAGUUUUCACUUAACAAUUGCAAUAAAGAAUUACUAAACUACAAUCAAUAAAAAUAACGGCAAGUCAAAAUGUGUAAAAUACAGUUGUAUUUUGGAAGUUGAAUGGAAUCCGUUCCGGAAGACCGUUCGACUUCCAAAACAUUCAUAAAUGAAGGCGCAGCUUCCGAUUGGCUGCAGGAAGCUCCUGCAGCCAAUCGGAACCCGCAUUGGACGUUCAGCUUCCAAAGAACGUUCGCAAACCAGAACACUCACUUCCGGGUUUCCGCCGUUUUGGAGCCAAAACGUUCGAGUUGCAAAGCGUUUGACUUCCAAGGUACAACUGUACCACAAAACAUACAAAUCCAUGUAAAAGGUUGUCAAACUGAGAAACAAGGGCACACAACUUACAUUCUUAUUAUUAAAAAUAAUAAAAAUCCCUGAAGUCCUCUCUUCCCAGCUGCUUCUGCUGUUCCUAAAGCCAUGGUCUGGGAAAGUCUCCUAGGGUUGGAGGGUAGGGCAAGGCAGGUGCAAAAAGUCAUUGCUUGUCCAGCACAAAGUCUCUCUUCCAGUGCCGGGGUCUGCAACUACAAACUGGUCUCAUGGCGGAGUCUUGGCUCACAUUUAAUCUUGUCAACCUCUUAGAAUUGAUGUGGACAACCUCCUCUGCUUGAUGGGGCUACUUCCUUUCCUCCUCUUUCCCACCAGAGGGUGUUGCAAACAAAACCUGCCCUUAUAGAGUCUUUUGUAGGUUCUCCAUCGGUAGGAGAAAAUAACAGAGGCCAACCAGAGAAUAUUGAGAAGCAAAGCAGCUCGUAAGCCUGAUCUUUAUUGAUCUGUUGCAACAGGAUGCUCCCCUCACCCGCAGGAAAGGAGGAGGAACCCAGAACAAAGGUGUGCCUGCCCUUAUAUAGACAUUUUGAAAUUCCCUGCCCUGGAGCUCAAGACCACCCCUCCAUACAUCACACAUAUAUCACAGAAAAGGCAGUCUACAACAGAAAUUUGAAUGUUGUUGUUUUUCCUGUCUGCCAGGUUAUCUGAUAAUGCCUUAUGUGAUUGCCUUUUCUGGUAGUCCUGCCAUUCCUUUGAGAUGAUAAUUACUUAAUUCCUGAGACAAUGGGAAGGUUCCCUCACCCCCUCCCUCCUUGCAGAGAAAACAUUUGGUCAGUUUGGGAGUUUCAGGACCGUCUUCCUGUGCUGCUUCAGACAUAUAGUUUAUAUAUUCAUGUACAUGUUUGCUUGGUACAUUUAUGGACAUUUAUUAUGUAUAUAUAAGACCUUAAUUUUUUUAUUUCAAGGGCCUGUUGAAAUCAAUCCUGUACCUAACCCACCUUUUCUGAUGAUGGCAAAGGGCCCUCUGAAGUUGCAGCC